CGGUGUUUAACUGGCGUGAUGUGGGACGUCCUACCGGUGGGCUUAGUCUCGCGAGGGGCGGCCCAACUAAUAUCCCGUCGCGGUGCUCUUUACUGAGUGUCGAGUCGGGCCGGUACGUUUACUUUGAACAAAUUAGAGUGCUUAAAGCAGGCUAUCCUCGCCUGAAUACUGCGUGCAUGGAAUAAUGGAAUAGGACCUCGGUUCUAUUUUGUUGGUUUUCGGAACCCCGAGGUAAUGAUUAAUAGGGACAGAUGGGGGCAUUCGUAUUGCGACGUUAGAGGUGAAAUUCUUGGAUCGUCGCAAGACGGACAGAAGCGAAAGCAUUUGCCAAAAAUGUUUUCAUUAAUCAAGAACGAAAGUUAGAGGUUCGAAGGCGAUCAGAUACCGCCCUAGUUCUAACCAUAAACGAUGCCAGCUAGCGAUCCGCCGAAGUUCCUCCGAUGACUCGGCGGGCAGCUUCCGGGAAACCAAAGCUUUUGGGUUCCGGGGGAAGUAUGGUUGCAAAGCUGAAACUUAAAGGAAUUGACGGAAGGGCACCACCAGGAGUGGAGCCUGCGGCUUAAUUUGACUCAACACGGGAAACCUCACCAGGCCCAGACACCGGAAGGAUUGACAGAUUGAUAGCUCUUUCUUGAUUCGGUGGGUGGUGGUGCAUGGCCGUUCUUAGUUGGUGGAGCGAUUUGUCUGGUUAAUUCCGAUAACGAACGAGACUCUAGCCUGCUAAAUAGGCGUACCUUAUGGUAUCGCGAAGGCCCCCGGCUUCGGCCGGUGGGUUUUUACUACCAACGUACAAACAAAUCUUCUAGAGGGACAGGCGG
rnacentral:rRNA from 1 species